CAUACCUACCCCUACAUUAUUGUCAGGCUUAGAACCACGACAGCCGGUGUGCUCGCUUGGGGCGAGGCGUCGCGGCGGAGGACGAUAAGACGACCGGCAUGCUCACUUGGUAGGAUGGCGGCCGCUUCGCCCGGGCGCUCGGGCGCGGCAGCACGGCGUCGGGUCGUUGCUGGUGGCGCCGCGGCCGGGGCUAUGGUUUGACGGGCGACGCGGAGGAGGCACUGUCCUAAAGCCAGCGACGAUGGCUGCAGCGGGCGUCAACAUCUUGCUUCACGGGCUACCAAACAGAGGAUCCCCAAAAUCGCUGGCUACUGAACGCCAUGAGGCCGCUCGCCCACGGCCAAUCGAAAUCGAAUCGAUGCCGGCGGCCACACCGACCUACGUCAUGUCCUUUUCUCGGCCUGAUCCUAAGCGCCUCCUCCUUCACCGCCUCACCUCGCCCAGCAUAGCCCUAGGCGGCUCCAUGGGCCGUGGUGGCAUGGUGGCUGGCCACGCUGGGUCUUCGGGACGUGCCGAACAGCGUCGCGUUCCUACACCUUGGGGAUGGCUUUGGGUCGAAUUCUCCUCCGUGCAAUUUCGUGCUCCUUUGAGAUGUGCUCCCGAUGCUUUUGGUUGUCAAAUUUGUGAUGCAAUCCGUCCCUAUGUCGGCACAAUCAGCAGAAUAAAGCAGCUACCAUGAUUUUCCCAUUGAUCUCUUGGAGUGAUUCAAACCUGCAAGCACCAGGAUUGAGUGACUCCUGCAUAUGAUGAUUGGAGAAUUUUUCAUCAAUUUUCCAACAUGAAUUAGCUACAGAAAUUGGGAAAAGAGGAGUCCAGACUCUGAUGAACACAUCGUCUUUCCUAGGUAACAAGCAACUGAAGCAAGAAGAUUUUUUGAAAGUAUAGCCACCUUAACCUAGGAUGCAUGAUGGAAGGAUCCAAUAUGUCAGCACCAACGGGGGAAUUGCAGAGCUUCAUAUUCAGUUUAUUUUAGCUGCUUGCCCGCUUCAACUGUCUACAUUACAGGAAACAUGUUUCUUUAAGUGACGAACCUAGAUACCAAUUUAUUCAAACUAUUAUAUUUCUUAUAGAAGUAAUGCAAUAUAUUCUCUCUCU